CCUACGGGCGGCAGCAGGAGGGAAUCUUCCACAAUGGACGAAAGUCGGAUGGAGCAACGCCGCGUGAGUGAAGAAGGGGUUCGGCUCGUAAAGCUCUGGUGGUAGGGAAGAAAGAUAGAGGGAGUAACUGGCCUUGAGUUGACGGUAAUGACGGAGAAAGGCACGGCUAACUACGUGCCAGCAGCCGCGGUAAUACGUAGGUGGCAAGCGUUGUCCGGAUUUAUUGGGCGUAAAGCGAGUGCAGGCGGUUCAAUAAGUCUGAUGUGAAAGCCUUCGGCUCAACCGGAGAAUUGCAUCCGAAACUGUUGACCUUGAGUGCAGCAGAGGCGAGUGGAACUCCCUGUGUAGCGG
rnacentral:rRNA from 1 species